GGACCAUGGUGACCCAAUAUCCUGCAGGAAAAAGGGAGGAGGAAGGGAAAUGGGUCUUUCUCCCUCCAAAGUCCCAACCAGAGCACCCAUCACAGGUUCCUCACAAUUUGGAGCACCAUGUCCCAUGUCCCACAGGGCCACAGCUUACGAGGUGCCAUUACUAAAGUUGACUUUCUAAAAAUCAGCCAGGAUUGAAGCUGACGAGCACCACCCAGUAGAGCACCUUCACCAGCUCCCUGGCAGCAUCAGGGAAUCAUCCAGAGGUGAUUUCUUUGAGAAUGCCAAAAUUCUACCACAUCGUGGCUUUUAGUCACUCAAACUCUGAACGCUACAUCUGUCUGAAAUAUUAAAGUGGCCCUUAUGAAAGUGUGAGAUUGGUUCAUGUUAUCCAUUUCACCUUUUCACCAAGUCUUACACAUUUCCACAUCUUUUCACAGAGAAAUCCUCUUUUUGUAGGUGGUACAGGACAGGGAUUUUGGUUCAUCCAUGAGGCCCAAGCACCUGGAACACUAACCAGGACACUCUAAGCAAUCUAUCAAGAUUAGUGGAAUGAAUAAAUGCACA